rnacentral:rRNA from 1 species
GACGAACGCUGGCGGCGUGCUUAACACAUGCAAGUCGAACGGAAAGGCCCUGCUUUUGUGGGGUGCUCGAGUGGCGAACGGGUGAGUAACACGUGAGUAACCUGCCCUUGACUUUGGGAUAACUUCAGGAAACUGGGGCUAAUACCGGAUAGGAGCUCCUGCUGCAUGGUGGGGGUUGGAAAGUUUCGGCGGUUGGGGAUGGACUCGCGGCUUAUCAGCUUGUUGGUGGGGUAGUGGCUUACCAAGGCUUUGACGGGUAGCCGGCCUGGGAGGGUGACCGGCCACAUUGGGACUAAGAUACGGCCCAGACUCCUACGGGAGGCAGCAGUGGGGAAUAUUGCACAAUGGGCGGAAGCCUGAUGCAGCAACGCCGCGUGCGGGAUGACGGCAUUCGGGUUGUAAACCGCUUUCGCCUGUGACGAAGCGUGAGUGACGGUAAUGGGUAAAGAAGCACCGGCUAACUACGUG